CCUACGGGAGGCUGCAGUGGGGAAUAUUGGACAAUGGGGGGAACCCUGAUCCAGCCAUGCCGCGUGUGUGAAGAAGGCCCUCGGGUUGUAAAGCACUUUCAGUGAGGAAGAACGCCUGGUGGUUAAUACCCAUCAGGAAAGACAUCACUCACAGAAGAAGCACCGGCUAACUCCGUGCCAGCAGCCGCGGUAAUACGGAGGGUGCGAGCGUUAAUCGGAAUUACUGGGCGUAAAGCGCGCGUAGGUGGCUUGAUAAGCCGGUUGUGAAAGCCCCGGGCUCAACCUGGGAACGGCAUCCGGAACUGUCAAGCUAGAGUGCAGGAGAGGAAGGUAGAAUUCCGGGUGUAGCGGUGAAAUGCGUAGAGAUCGGGAGGAAUACCAGUGGCGAAGGCGGCCUUCUGGACUGACACUGACACUGAGGUGCGAAAGCGUGGGUAGCAAACAGGAUUAGAUACCCUAGUAGUC
rnacentral:rRNA from 1 species